CCUACGGGAGGCAGCAGUGGGGAAUAUUGCACAAUGGGGGGAACCCUGAUGCAGCCAUGCCGCGUGUGUGAAGAAGGCCUUCGGGUUGUAAAGCACUUUCAGUUGUGAGGAAAGGUUAGUAGUUAAUACCUGCUAGCUGUGACGUUAGCAACAGAAGAAGCACCGGCUAACUCCGUGCCAGCAGCCGCGGUAAUACGGAGGGUGCAAGCGUUAAUCGGAAUUACUGGGCGUAAAGCGCGCGUAGGCGGUUUUUUAAGUCGGAUGUGAAAGCCCCGGGCUCAACCUGGGAACUGCAUCCGAUACUGGAUCACUAGAAUGCGGGAGAGGGAGGUAGAAUUCCAUGUGUAGCAGUGAAAUGCGUAGAUAUAUGGAGGAAUACCAGUGGCGAAGGCGGCCUCCUGGCUCGACAUUGACGCUGAGGUGCGAAAGCGUGGGGAGCAAACGGGAUUAGAUACCCCGGUAGUCCACGCCGUAAACGAUGUCUACUAGCUGUAGGGGUACUUGAGACCUUUGUAGCGCAGCUAACGCAAUAAGUAGACCGCCUGGGGAGUACGGCCGCAAGGUUAAAACUCAAAUGAAUUGACGGA
rnacentral:rRNA from 1 species